AUACGUAGGUGACAAGCGUUAUCCGGAUUUACUGGGCGUAAAGGGCGUGUAGGCGGUCUUGCAAGUCAGAAGUGAAAUUCCUGAGCUCAACUCGGGCGCUGCUUCUGAAACUGCAGGACUUGAGUGCUGGAGGGGAUAGCGGAAUUCCUAGUGGAGCGGUAAAAUGCGCAGAUAUUAGGAAGAACACCGGUGGCGAAGGCGGCUAUCUGGACAGUAACUGACGCUGAAGCGCGAAAGCUGGGGGAGCAAACAGGAUUAGAUACCCGGGUAGUCCACGCCGUAAACGAUGAAUACUAGGUGUAGGGGGUAUCGACUCCCUCUGUGCCGCAGUUAACACAAUAAGUAUUCCGCCUGGGGAGUACGGCCGCAAGGUUGAAACUCAAAUGAAUUGACGGGG
rnacentral:rRNA from 1 species